rnacentral:rRNA from 1 species
AUUGAACGCUGGCGGCAGGCCUAAUACAUGCAAGUCGAGUGGUAACAGGAAACAGCUUGCUGUUUCGCUUUCGAGUGGCGGACGGGUGUAUCAUGUCUGGGACACAGCUUGAAGGAGGGGGAUACCUCCUGGAAACGGUAGCUAAUACCGCUUAACUUUGCAAGCCCAUAGAGCAGGACUUUCGGGCCUCUUGCCUUCAGCUGUUCCCAGGUGGCAUUAGCUAGUAGGUGGGGUAACGGCUCACCUAGGCGACGAUCCCUAGCUGGUCUGAGAGGAUGACCGGCCACACUGGAACUGAGACACGGUCCAGACUCCUACGGGAGGCAGCAGUGGGGAAUAUUGCGCAAUGGGCGCAAGCCUGAUGGAGCCACGCCGCGUGUAUGAUGAAGGUCUUCGGGUUGUAAAACACUUUUAGCGGGGAGGAAGAGAGUAAAAUUAAUAUCUUCACUCAUUGACGUUACCUGCAGAAGAAGCACCGGCUAACUCCGUG